rnacentral:lncRNA from 1 species
UCCAACAUCAUACAGACAAGUCUGCAACCUUUGAAGUAAGUUGUUCCUUUCGAGGAAAGAGUCGUCUUCUUCAAGUAUUGAAGUCGUGUUGUCCAAAACAGCAUCAACAAGGGGAGAGAGGUAAGCUCCACCGUAGAGUUUUUCAGUCAUGAUUGGGAUUUCAAGUGCAGCAGAUCAGAUGGGAUCAGAAUUCAGAACAAAGAAAGAAAGGCGAUGGAAGAGGGAAGGGUUAUCAGUUUGCAAAGUACUCUCUGGGUUUCUGAAGCAGAAGCUAAGGCAAGUCUUUGGAUUGUGUGGUGGUGGUGAUGAGUGAAGUUGACUUGAUGAACUUUAUGGUCGUCUUUCACCCAUUGCUGUAAUUAUUUUUUUUUUUGGACAGCAAAAUAUUGAGGAAUCUCGAAUUAACGAAUAAAAAAAUUUGGUUCCAAUACAUCAUGCAUAGUGGAUAUUGCAGCAACCACAUCAAUUUGUUCAAGAAAUUAGUAAUUCAUACCCUAGGGCGGAAAUUAUCAUUUUAUCACGUGUGUAAUCGAAAAAUAAUAACAACGACAACAAUCGACAAGUGGGGCUGGCAAUUUAUAUCUUAUAUGUGGUAUCUAAUUCGAACCAAAUUCGUUCGAAUAGGAUUGACUACUUGAUUUGCUGCAGAUAGGGUAGGAUACCGUAUUUAUCUGCCUAUAAAGUAGGAUACCCUAUCUUACGUUAUCCAUACUCUUAGUGUAUUAUGUAAUAUAUAUGUAAGAGUUAUAUAUGUAAUAAAAAAAAUGAGGGUUGAAAUCACAAUUUUUUUCUUAUAAAAAUUUAAAAUAACUAAGUUAGUUGAUAAUUCUAUUAUUUGUAAUUUUAUAUUAGAUUUUUUUAAAAUUUUAUUGUUUUUAAUUUUAAUUUAAAUUUAAUUUUUUAUUUUUUUAUUUUAUUAAUAUGUAUAAAAUUUAGAAAGAUUGGCUUUUAUAUUUGUUUAAAUUUUUUUUAUUUUUCCGCAGGUAGGAUACGAGUAUAGUAGAGUUUAGAAUUUUAGGGUGUGGAUAGAAUUAUGGUUGAAAAAUUCUAAACCCGCAAAUAAAAUAUGGUAAAUUUUUAAAAACAUUUUUAACCCGCGAAAUAGGAUAGGAUAGAGUCCAAACUCUACCCUACCUUACCCAUUGCGAGCCUAACAAAAACCGUAACUAUUUUAUUUUCUCUCGGUCUCUCUCAUAUUUGGUCUAAUUUGAUCUCUCUCACAAUUUUAUAAAAAUAUUUUAAAAUAGUUAUUAAUCGUUUUUAAAUUUAUACUAUAUAAUAUAAUUUGUAUAAUUAAUUUAGCUUUCUAUGUAAUGUGUAAGUCUUAAUCUAGUUAUAGUAAUUUUUAUUGUAUUUAUUGUAUGAGGAAGUAUAGGGAGCUAAUGGAGUAUCUAUACAAUGUGUAUGGGGUAUAGGGAUGUUCGAUUCAGUAGGAUAUUAGAUGUUUAUUAUCUCUAGUAUUCGGAUGGUUAUUCUAGAUAGUAUGGGUGUAUUGUGUUUGAAAAAUUAGUAAUAUUUUAUCCUAAAUGUUCAUUUUUUAACUCAUAUUGAGUCAAAUAAAUAGUCUAUUGUACACAUUAUACAAAUACUUCAUUGGCCCUAGCGGAACUCGUAUUGUAUUAUAUGAACACUAAUUAACGAAAAUGUAACAGGCAUAGAUUGUUAAGGAAAAUGAUAGUAAUAAUAUUUUAAAACUUAUCAAUGCUAGUCCAAAUUUAAUUUAAUUUAUACCUAUUAAAAAAAUUAAUAUUAAUAUUAAAAAUAUAGAGUAACUUAUUUUUUUAUUACAUAAUAAAUAUAACAAUAGUAACAGACUUUUUUAUUUUAUAAAAGAAUUAAAAUAUAUUUUAAAUAGAAACAAAAGGAUUACAAAGUAAUUUAAUUAGAUAAGAUGUACCAGUAGUUUAGUAGUAAAAAAUUAAAAGACUAAUAAUACAUUUAGAUACUACUGUGAGUUCUGUUUUAAUAUAUUACUAAUAGAUAGAUAGAUGUUUUUAUUUGUCAUAAAAAUUUUAUAUUUUUACAAGAGAAGCUAAAAUAAUAUUUUUGUUUUUUGAUUUUUUAUACAGAUAUGUUUAUAAUAAGUAGUUAACUGUUCUGAGUUAAGAUGACAUUAUUUGAGCCAAUGAGUUAUAGCCCAAAUGGCAUAGUCUUCCCAUACUCAAUUAAGAGGAUGCGGGUUCGAGUCUCCUAUCUUUGGUAAAAAAAAAAGAUGACAUUAUUUGAUAAUUUUAAAUUGACAUUAUUAAGCAAAGACUUUUAGUGCAUGUUUGGGCGCCAUUAUUUUGUUAAAAAAAGAUCUUUUUUCAAUGAAAAAAGAUCUUUUUUUAUUUUUUAACGUGUUUGGCAAAUUUCUAGUAGUAAAAGUAAAAGCACUAGUAAAAUCAAAAAAAGAUCUUUUUUGAGAAGCUAUAAUUUACAUCUUUUUUUAAAAGAUCUUUUUUCCUAAAAAAAAAAGAUGUUUUUCAUGUAAUAAAUAAACAAAAAAGUGCUUUUAUAUUGUUAUACCCAAACAUAAUUGAUAGAUAAAAAGACCUUUUUACAUGAGAUAUCUAAAUAUAAAAUUACUUUUACUUCUCUAUAAGAUCUUUUAAAAAAAGAUAACUCAAAAAAAGAUCUUUUAAGAAAAGCUCACCCAAACAAACCCUUAAUUUCAUGAAAUACUAAUAAAAGAAUAUGAAAAAAAAAAUAAUGUUCUUAAUUCUGCAACAGAUUGUACCAACAUAAAAUUUCUAAAAAACAGAAACAAAACCAAAAGUCUCAAUGUUCGAAAGUGUGGAUUCCAAAAGGAAACAAAGAGGCUAAGGUAUUAAAUUUUCUAACGUAUUGUUGCUCGAUUGCUUUCUGCAUGAAGGUUUCAGUCUCAGCUGUUAUCAUGUUUUUUGAGUAAUCAAAUUAUAAAGUAUAUAAAAAUCUUACUAUUCUUGUCUUAUUUCUCAGCAUUCAUCCCUGUGUUGUUGGGUCCAUGGAUAAUCUGCAUGAGAAGGUAUGAUAUAACAGUAUAACACAUUAAUAAGAAUGACUGAAUGAAGAAUAAGAAUAUUGUAGAGAGAAUGAAGAAUGUUGUUGGAUUACCAAAUCCAUCUGCGAUCAACUUGAAGGGCGGGAAUGUGGGAGAUUUUGGGCCAAAUCUGUGGAUCCUUCUUCUCGCAUCGUUCGGCCAGCAAAGGGCUAUCAUAGAUGCCGAGUUUUAUUAGAGAGGCAGGCAGCUUUUCUCCCUCAAUAUUCUCCAACUUGUCACAAUAGUCAAUACGCAGUUCCUGGAGGGAGGUGAUGUGGGCAAGUCCCUUGCAUUCCAAAGUCCCCACACUGCUAAGGCCUUUAAUUGUGAGGGACUCAAGGGAGGCAGGCAACCAACCUUCCUUUGGGAAGCUCUUCACACACUCACUGUAAUCAGAAACUUCAAAACAAAAGAUAAGAUUAGUAAUCCCAUGAAACUGCGGAUGCAUGAAUGCUGCAGAGCUCACUAGUUUCUCGCUGUAGGUGAUUUCAAGAUAUCUCAGGCUACGGUGUGGAUGCCCUGUAUCAUACAAAUCAAUCUCUCGGCAAUCCACUAAUGAGAGUUUCUCAAGCUGAGGUGCUGCCAUCCAUAGCGUUGACACAGAUUUCAAACUCCCACAAAAGAAGAUAUAUAAAGAAAGGAGACAAGAAAGAGAGCGUGACACCACGAGAGACUCCAUCUUUUGGCAACCGCUGAUACGAACACUCACGAGUUUUGGAAAGGCAUCCAAUAACGAGAAGGAUGUAUGUGAAUCACAGCUGUUCCCUAUUGAUAGUUUCUGCAGCGAGUGAUGUUGCCCAUCCAUUUGGAAUUCAAAUGAUUCUCCACAAUUCUCGAUCGUCAACUCUUGUACUGAUGGAGGAAUAGCACUCACUGGAAACAAUAUGUGGGAGGAACAAUGUGAGAUGCAUAAAGAAGUGAGGCAACUCGGUUGCAUAUGCAUUAUGGCCUUCACACUCGGCUCCUGAUCGAUUCCUCCAAUUGAUAGUUGACGCAGUAAAGGAGGUAGCUCUCUAAUUCUCACUUCAUUCCCGUAUACAAAUAUGCUUAAAGAGGUCAUUGCAGGAGCUUUUGGAACACAACACCUCAGCUGCCCGCAACCCUCAAUAGUAAAUGAUUGCAAAGAUGGUAGAUGAUUGGGCAAAUCUCGUAUCAACAUGGGACAGCACUGUAUUGAAAGCUCCCUAAGUCUCGGAAACGCAUUGAACUCCAAUGAACGCCACUCCUUCCAGCAAUCCAAUGAGUCAAACUUAAGAGUUUCAAGCAUUGGGAAUGGUGGUGUCUCCAAACAAGAUUCACCAUUCUGGUUAAAGUAAAACUCAGCACCCACACUUUCCAGACUUUUAAAAUGUGAAAUUGAUAGGUGCUUCAACGAGGGCAACUGUCCAAAUGAAGGAAGCAUACAGCAACUCCUGCAACCAUCCAGUCUUAUUUUGGUGAUUUUGUGGUAGGAAGAAUGUCCCACCCAAUCUGGAAAUCUUGUACCCCUGUAACCCCACAUAUCUAACUCUUUCACAUUAGUGUGAGGUCGUAACUUGUCAAGUAUAUCUCUUUGCAUUUCAGAAUCAACUCUAUUCUCUCUACUCCACCACCAAGUCAACAUCAUAGAAUCAAUGCCAUCCUUAUCACACAUUCUUGCCUCCAAAGCUUCACUGCUGUUCACCACAUUGUCCAAUUUGGAAAUGAAAAUUGAUUUGUGUAGACCUGCAAGUGCUCCCAAUUCUUUAAUCUUGUUUUCUUCAUGCUUUCCAACAACAAAAGUACUUAAAAACUGCAAACUUUUCAAAUUGCUCAUGCCUUUCGGCAUCUCAUACAACCCAGUCCCAUAAAUAUCAAGAUGACGCAAAUUUACAAGGUCUUUCAUGCCAACAGGUAGCGUUAUCAGACUCCCACAGGUAUUCAACUUCAAGGUCUGCAAAUUGUAUAGGUUACCCAAUGACUCUGGCAAUGUCACAAUCUUGGUCUCAGAGAUAUCCAAGUAACGCAAAUGAAUCAACUCACCUAUUGAAUCAGGUACUGACUCAAGAGGAAAGCGUUUCAACGACAGCGCUCUCAGGUACUUCAACUGUGACAACAAGAUACAAGUUGCGUUUUCUAUGUUAAAUGGGAUCCAUGUCUCCAAAUUGAUUUCAAGAAAUGUCCUUGUAUGUUUUACUGUAUCGCAAACUCCCAAAAGUUUUGACAUUGGAUAAUUGCCUUUGGCAUUAUGUGACAAAUGACGAGCUUUAAUAUCAACCUCAACUGCAUUCCGAAGCUCUUUGGCUCUGAAAUACAAUUCUCCAGCACACGUCAUUGCUAAAUCAUGCACAAGAUUAUGCAUCACAAAUAUCUUUUCGCGGGAAUUGUGAGGUUGGAAAAAUGAUCUCGCAAUUAAUUCAUCAAAAUAUUCACCACCAACUUCUUCCACAGUCUUUUUAUCUACUGGUUGCAAAAAAUUCUCAGCCAUCCAUAACAAUAUCAAUUCAUCCUUGAUAAAUUCAUAGCUCUUGGGAUACAAGGAACAAUAAAUAAAGCACUGCUUCAAAUAUGAAGGAAGAAAAUAAUAACUUAUUCUUAAUGCUGGAACAACAUUUGUCUUGUCAUCUGAAAGUUCCCAGAUUUCACUCUUUAGUAAAUGAUUCCAAGACCUGAUAUCCGAAUUUCCACGCAAUAAGCCUCCAAGGGCUUGAGCUGCCAAGGGCAAUCCAUCACACCUCUUUACCAUAUCUCUGCCGAUUUUUUCCAGGGUUGGAUUCUCCGAAGAAAUAGUUGAAAGACGUGCAUGCUUUGAAAACACCAACCAACAAUCUUCAUCAGACAAUGGACUCAGUUCAUGAGGUGAAAUAGUCUGCACUAUAGAAGCCACGUUUUUAUUUCUUGUAGUUAUGAGAAUUUUACUUCCCUUAACCCCUUUUUGAAAAGGUUUUAGAAACCUAUUCAAAUCAUCAUAAUUUUUAUCCCAUACAUCGUCCAAGACAAUGAAGAACUUUUUCCUUGACAACUCUUCUCUUAAAUCAUGCUGAAGUAAAUUCAAAUCUGUCAAGUCAUAACGCCACCAAACUAUUGCCUCAAUUAUAGUCUUGGUGACCUUGACAACAUUAAACUCUUCCGACACACAAACCCAACCUCGAAAAUCAAAACUCUCCUUCACUUUGUCAUCGUGGUAAACCAACUGGGCCAAAGUAGUCUUUCCUAUUCCGCCCAUGCCCACAAUGGGAAUGACAGAUAAAUCACCAUCACCAGCAUCAUCAUCAUCCAACAACAGUUUCAGUAUGGCCUCCUUGUCUUCUUUCCUGCCACAUAUCUCCGGUGGUUCAACAAGACAUGUGGAUGGAAAUCUCCAUGACAUGUCCAACUUUGCAACCUCCUUCAGAGGAAGUGAAAUUUUGCCUGCUACGACAGUCUCUAGUCUUCCAACUAUUUUUUCUAUGUCACCAGUAUCUUCUAUAUAUGAAUCAACAAGGUGAGACCAGGAAGAAGAGUUACCUGCAUCCCUUUUAGUGGCAGCGAUGGCGGCUUUAGUGGAGAUCUCAUCGAGCAAGUCAUCGGCCAUAUAGAGAGCAUCUUGAAGAUCAACAAGCCAUUCCUUCACUUUCUUGUCACUGAACUGCUUCAGCUCAGCAUCAUCAAGAACAGGUCCAACAUUAUACAGACAAUUCUGCAACCUUCCAAGCAACUCAAGGGCAGAGUGGUUUCCGUUGAGGACAGAGUCAUCUUCGAACAUUGAAGACAGGUUAUCCAAAACAACCUCAACCAAGGGAGAGAGGUAAGCUCCACCAUAAGGUUUUGCAGCCAUGGGUGAAUCUCUAGUGCAGCAGAUCAGAUGGGAUCAUAACAAAGAAAGAAAACUUUUAUUAAAACUCUUCUCACCUUAACCACACAACAACUAUAGGUGAAUAAUGUGUAUUACUUUCCACCAUUAAUGUUUAAUGGCUUAAAUGUAAGAUAAUUUUUCUCCUUUCCUUUUGUUAGAUUUUUAUUUCUUUUUUCUAAAAAUUAACUUUACUAUUUUUUAGAUGAAGUUGACUUUGAUGAACUUUAUGAUCGGGUUCUUUACUAAUUCUUUAACAACUGAAUUCUAGUAAUUCUUAUCAUAUCUAUUAUCUUAAAUAAAAAGAAUAAAUACUUUUUUGGUCUUUGACCAUUUAUUCGAAUGACAGUGUCUUUUUACAAUUCGAAAAUACUUGAUCGGUCUCCAACCAUCUAUAUAUUUGGUCAAUCUUUUAAAAUAUUUGUUAUACUGAAAGUGUACAAAAUUAAGAAAAUUUAGACAUCUGUUAACAAUUUCUUUAGAAAAAAGUAAUGUUAAAACAUAUGUGAAAAAAUAACAUUACGAAUUGUGAAUUAUAUUAACCAUUUUCUGAUGAUAAAUUCUAUGGGAUGUUGUUUUGAAUGAUAAACAGUUGGUUGAUGCACUUGCAAGUGUGUGAUUUACAUCCUUAAGAAAGAAAUCUAAAUAUGUAAUUCUUGAUGAUACUCAGUGCUGCCUUCACAUGUCUUCCUAUUUUUUAUUUCUUCUCUUAUUUGAUGGUUUGAGGAGGAAAUUUCAACUUUUAUUCUUGUCAAAGAUCUUAUUGUUACUAUUUAAGUUUUCACUUAUAUUUAGUGGGAUAAACAUAGUUGUUGCUGCAUUAUUGACUAAUUUUUUUAUUUUUCUAAUGAAACAUACAAUUCUUAAUCAACAAUGCACAAUAAAAUAGAGGGGGGAAAAUAAAUACGUGUAUGCAAAAGAAUAAUGGCCAAGGGAUUCGAGUGGCUAAUGAUGAAUUAAACCCCAAUAACAAGGACUUGUUGUCACCUAAUGGAGAAGGAGAGUUAGUGAAUGCAAGUGGACAGAUGGUUAUUAAAAAUCGUUCACCAUCAUCAUCUUAAUUCAUUCCCUUUUCAUUGUUUAUCCAUUAUUAAAAAUUUUGAAUUCUCUUAACUUAUCAUUUCUUUGGUGUUGUACUGUUUCAUUGGUUAACUUUUGCCACUCUUACUUCACUAUAAAAAUAAUACAGAAAAUUUUCCGUUGCAGACCAUGAACAUAGAAGUCUCAAUCUCCAAAAGAGUAGGUUCCGAAAAAAAAAAAACAAGCUAUUAUUUUACAAUGCAAUGGCAUACAGACGAUUCUGCAACCUAACAAGCAAGUUGUUCCUUUCGAGGAAAGAGUCGUCUUCUUCAAGUAUUGAAGUCGUGUUGUCCAAAACAGCAUCAACAAGGGGAGAGAGGUAAGCUCCACCGUAGAGUUUUUCAGCCAUGAUUGGGAUUUCAAGUGCAGCAGAUCAGAUGGGAUCAGAAUUCAGAACAAAGAAAGAAAGGCGAUGGAAGAGGGAAGGGCUAGCAGUU